CUCGAACAGGGCCAGCCAGCUCAUCGACCACCGUCCCAACGCUACCAAGGCCUAGCCGCGACCGCGAACGCCAUUCCCGCCGCUCCCCCGUGCCCCGCCCGAACCGAGUCUACGCGAUGGGGAAGGAGGAGAAGGGAGCGAGGGCGGCGAAGAAGGGCACGAGCUCAGGCAAAGCCCCGCUCCUGCAGCCCAGGUAUUCUGUGCGCGGCGACGCGGCAGCAUCCCAGAAAACCGAUGUCGUCACUGACUACGCCGGCAGCAAAGAGUGCGAGGAUUUCCACUAUGAUACAAUGGAGAUGCACCAGUUCUUAGAAACUAUCGAGGGCUUGAAGGGCCACCCACAGUGCGUGGACUGCCGGCGUGAGGCCGUUGCUGGGAAUCCGGCUCUCCUAAACCCUCGCUUCGUGAUGUGCUCGGGCUGCAGCCAGUGUUUCUGCGCCGGACUGGCGAGCAAUGAGGAUGGACCAAUCGGGCAUGCGCAGCUCCAUGCCAAAUCAGCUUGCCAUCCAGUUGCGCUGUGGAUAGACCAACCCGAUGCUGCUUACUGCUUCCAGUGUGCCCACAGCUUGAGCCUCAAGGUGAUCGCCUUAGCAGCGCGUUCCCAUAACCAUGGCUAUGCUGUCAGAGGGAUGCCGAACUUCAGAGCCAAAUGCUACGUCAAUGCACUGGUGCAGUGCCUCCUUGCGCUUGACGAUCUGUGGAUGUCGAUGCUAGGACCUCGUGCUCCAGCAGGGCCCCUCGGUGUUGCGCUGAAGGAGCUCUUUUUGGAGACGAGGUCUGGGAAUGAUGCAGGAGCAUUUCUGAACACACGGAGACUCAUGGAAAGUAUAUGCCUAUUGGAUGCGGGGUACAGGACCACUGAUCACCAAGACUGCCAAGAACUUCUGGUCCAUGUGCGCAAUGGGUUGAUCGAUGAGGAACGGAAGAAGAAGCUUCCUGAUGUGAGAAAGGAUGAUGUUCCCACAGUUGUCGAUUCCAUUUUCAAGGGCGAGGUGUCUGUUAUGUGGACCUGCAGUCGCUGCCUGAACACUGCAGGCAAGGACGAAGAAUUCUAUGAGCUCUCACUGCCAUUGCCACCUAGUAAGAAGCAUCCAAGCAGAAGUGUCCCAGCUAUAAAACAAUGCCGACGAAUUCAGAAGGAGGGUAAGCUUACAUGCUCCUGUACCUAAUCAACUUGUCUGCCAAAAAUUGGUUAACAGAUCUGCAUAUAUGGGGUGGCACCCCAGAGCAUAAGUCUAUUUAGGAACGAAUGGUAUAAACGGCUGUGUCAUAUGGAUGGUAACUGCUUUUGCUCAAUAUAAGGAAACAUUUCAUUUCUCAGAGACGAGUUUUGACUCUUGACCACUACCUAGUACCUAAAUUUUGGGAGUUGUUAAAGCACUACUUCUAUGCAUGUGUUGGAGAAAUGACAGUUCAGUAUGACCACAUAAAACAGUUGGGGAUGUUUGAGCAGUCUGAACUGGAGAAGCUGUUCUAUCGUAGUGUGGUAAUUUGGAUUGCCAUUCGAACAUAGCUUACCGGUGUUGAAUUCUUGUCUUUAUUUCACUCAACCUGGUCUGUUAGGUCAGCAGUUUCUCAGGCAUUCUCGGAGAAGUUACUUCUAAUGUGGAGGAUUGAGGUUCUGAAAAACUCGUAGAUGUUAACUUUUUUUCUGGAUGAAAAUUGUUGUUUUGCAGAAGAAAAGAAGGCAGCUGUCUCUCUCACAUCAGUUAAGCAGUGCAUUAAAUAUUAUUUUAGAAAAGUGAAGGUACAAAACCGCUGCGAAAUCUGUGAGAAGCCUAGCACCAGCCGAAGCAAAGAUGGUGGGCAGAUAGUGGCAAACAUCAAUUCGGGUGGACAUGCAUAUGUAACACUUUGUCUUAGCAAGCUGCCACCAGUAUUAACUAUUCAUGUGCUCAGAUUCAAUAUCAAUGAUAAGAGAGUGGGGCAUGUGAAGUUCGAGGAAAAUAUUGAUGUAGGAGAAUAUCUGGACCCCAGGUCUACAGACAAAGAUGAUGCCAGAUAUCGUCUAGUUGGUGUCAUUGAGCAUCUCGGGAGGACCGUAACGCCGGGGCACUUUGUCGCUUAUGUGAGAGGAAGCAGGAUUGUCAGUGAGAAGGAGCUGAGCAGCAGCUCUUCCUCUUGGUUUCAAGCAAAUGAUAUAAGAAUCAGAAAUAUCUCUCUAGAUGAUGUUCUCAAGCACGAGGCUUUCCUUCUUUUCUAUGAGAAGAUAAAAGCUUGAGACAUCUGUCGUAUUAUGCCAAAGUAAUCAGACGAGCAAUCACCUGGCAUUGGCAAGCAUGAUUUGGUUCGCUGAGGCAUUGCAGGGGCACCUGGUUGACGGCAGCUUCUAACCAGUUGGGGAAACUGUUGGCUGAUCUGCUGACUAUUUCUUUUUGCUCUUUUUAGGAACGAAUUAGGUCAUGCGGUAUUGUCCUAACAGAGUAGGAAACUGAUUGUACAUUCAUGCCAUGGCCUGGUUUUGUUGGAUGAUAAUUGAUCUUACAUGCUAGUGAUUCACAUUUUGCAACCACAUACAGAUGUUUCUUCAUUUUGAGACCUAGGUGUCGAUGAUUUUGGUUGGUUAUGGAAGUGGUUCCUUGUUUUGUGAAUGGUGGUUGACAAUGUUUUUUUGGUUGUGAGAUAUGUGAGAAGCCUAGUACCAGCCUAAGCAAAGAUGGUGGGCAGAUGGUGUGGUGUCGAGUAUUCAACAAAAGCACAUCAGUUGACAGGGGCCAAACUGAAUGUGACAAUAGCGGAAAAGUGGAUGAAAAGAGUGAUCUGUUGACUGCCCAUGUUACCCAAAAUGCCAGAACACUGAAUCAGGACAGGAUGAAGCAAGUAGAGCUGGAAAAAACUGCAAACCAAGUGGGAGAAGGCCAAAAUAAGCAGACAGAUAUGGGCGUAUCUGCACAUAAAGCAUGUUUUCUUAGCAAGCACCCAAGGAUCCAGUCAAGUGCGCCCAUACUAUCGUAGAGGCUCUAGUUCAUGUCCAUGUAUGUUCCAUGUUUUAGGGAAUUUUUUGG
rnacentral:misc_RNA from 1 species